rnacentral:rRNA from 1 species
AAUGACGCUGGCGGCACCUUACCACCUAUGACAAGUCGAGCGGGGAACGGUAGCUUGCUACUAACUACCGCUGCAGGGUGAGUAAUGCUUAGGAAUCUGCUAUUAGUGGGGGACAACGUUUCGAAAGGAACGCUAAUACCGCAUACGUCCUACGGGAGAAAGCAGGGGAUCAUUUGACCUUGUGCUAAUAGAUGAGCCUAAGUCGGAUUAGCUAGUUGGUGGGGUAAAGGCCUACCAACGCGACGAUCUGUAGCGGGUCUGAGAGGAUGAUCCGCACACUGGGACUUGAGACACGGCCAGACUCCUACGUGGAGUGCAGCAGUGGGGAAUAUUGGACAAUUGGGCGCAAGCCUGAUCCAGCCAUGCCGCGUGUGUGAAGAAGAGCCUUAUGGUUGUAAAGCACUUUAAGCGAGGACGAGGAGCUUCCACGUUAAUACCCUGGAUGCUUGGACGUUACUCGCAGAAAAUAAGGCACCGGCUAACCUCUGUGUCCACGACCACCGCGGUAAUA